CCUACGGGAGGCUGCAGUGGGGAAUAUUGGACAAUGGGCGCAAGCCUGAUCCAGCAAUACCGCGUGUGUGAAGAAGGCCUUAGGGUUGUAAAGCACUUUCAAUGGGGAGGAAAACCUACCGGUCAAUACCCGGUAGCUUGACAUUACCUGUAGAAGAAGCACCGGCUAACUCCGUGCCAGCAGCCGCGGUAAUACGGAUCGUGCAAGCGUUGCUCGGAAUUAGCGGGGGUAAAGCGUGCGUAGACGGGUGAAAGCCCCGGGCUUAACCUGGGAACUGCAUUUGAAACUGGCGGACUAGAGUUGAGUAGAGGGGAGUGGAAUUUCAGGUGUAGCGGUGAAAUGCGUAGAUAUCUGAAGGAACACCAGUGGCGAAGGCGACUCCCUGGACUCAAACUGACGCUGAGGUACGAAAGCGUGGGUAGCAAACAGGAUUAGAUACCCCAGUAGUC
rnacentral:rRNA from 1 species